CAGUAGCCGCGGGAAUACGAAGGGUGCAAGCGUUACUCGGAAUUACUGGGCGUAAAGCGUGCGUAGGUGGUGGUUUAAGUCCGUUGUGAAAGCCCUGGGCUCAACCUGGGAAUUGCAGUGGAUACUGGGUCACUAGAGUGUGGUAGAGGAUAGUGGAAUUUCCGGUGUAGCAGUGAAAUGCGUAGAGAUCGGAAGGAACAUCUGUGGCGAAGGCGACUAUCUGGGCCAACACUGACACUGAUGCACGAAAGCGUGGGGAGCAAACAGGAUUAGAUACCCGCGUAGUCCCUGUCUCUUAUAC
rnacentral:rRNA from 1 species